ensembl:lncRNA
AGGUCCUCAUCAAUACAAUCCAAGCCAGAGCGAUUGCUCACAACAGCUGAGCAGGAGCUGAGUCCAUCCACCAUCUCAGCAGGACUGGUUGGGCGAAGAAUAUAAAUGGAAUAUAAAAUAAAUGAAAGUGACACACGUCAACAACUUCAGUGAGAGACCUGGGUAAUGAGCAUAUAUCCCCAUCAUCAGCUCUGUGUUGCCCCAUUCUUCUCCCCUGCCUUUCCCUGGCCUUCAUUACUUGCUGAAGGAGGGGAAAGCUAGUGAGUGGGGCCAGGCAGAUAAGAAGAUAAGAAAGGCAGGAAGAAGAGUGGGAAGAAUCUGGUCACUUUGUGCCCACCCAGCUCUCCUUCCAGGCAUUAGGGCCAGUGAGUUCAUCCACAUUGGUCCAAGCAUUUCUCAAGACUCUCAGAACAGAAUGUCUUGUCCAUCAUCUGUACCUGAACCUCUGGGGACCCCUCUGUGUCACCACCAAUUUUUGGCCAUGCUGCAGAACAGCUUCAGCCUGCUCCUGCAUCUCUUUCUUUGUUAGCUAAACAGCAUGUGCAGAAAUGGACUGGCAUCCAGAGG